UGUGUGGCAAAUGUUUUCACCCUUUUACCUUCAGGGGUGACACAUGAAAAAAAAAAAACAAAAAAAAAAAAAAAAACACAAAAUCUCACUAUUUAAAUUUUAUUCCCUUCUCUUUUAUCUGCUCUUCCCUUCUGCCUUUUGCACCUGUCUCUGAAAACUGAGGAUCCUCAACGCGAUUGAGAGUUUCGUUCUGAGGAAAACGUGCGAUAACGAGAGCUGUCCUGAAUUCUGAGUCUCUUCAAGCACCCGGCCAUUGCAGGGACCCUGUCUCCCUCCCUAAAGGCCUCUGCAUCCUUCCUCUGACUGACUGCCCAGGCAGCAGCGUGCAAAGUAUUUUCAGUAACUCCAAAUGGCUGGUAGAGGAAGAGGACGCGCUGUGUUUACCUUCAACAUUGAGGCUAUUGGCUUUGCUAAAGGUGCAGCUCUGCCUGACAGUGUGUCUGAGGCUCCACCACUGUAUCCUAGCACAGAAAAUAAGCCAGUGCCCUUGAAAGCAGGAGAAGAUGAAGAUUACAUGUUGGCCGUAAAACAAGAAUUUAGAGGAACUCUGAAAACAAUGCCAUAUUUUUUGACAGUAGAGCAUCAUGAAGUAAUUGAAAGGUAUAGGAAAAAGUACCAGGACAGUGAAAAGAAGGAUGCAUCAUGGUCCCCAGAUUGGAGAAUAUUCCCAAGAGAGAUUAAGCCAAAUGAAAAGACCAAAAAAGCUUUCUUCUGCAGCAUUGUGAACCAGAUCCUUCAACAGCAGUUGGAGCUGGUAUUGCUUGUUCAUACAGGAAAAAACUUUUUUUAUUGUACAGCAUCAUAUGUGUAUUUGUUUUUCAAAGUGUUUUCUAGUAUGCAUGACUGUUAUUUUAAGUUCUCUGUAGAAGUCUGUUGCUCUGUUGAUGUGAAAUAACACUUGGCCUCCUGUAUCUAGCUGUUUGUUGUAUGUAAUUGCUUACUUUCUUGUUCUCUUUGUCCAAGUCCUUCAUAUGUCAUUUUUCAGUUCAAAGAUAAAAUAGAAAAAGGGAAUGUGCAGUAGUCCUGGAGAUUGGCUCAGCUGGAAGCUUUGUUUCUUUUAAGAGAGUCACUGAGAAGCAUGGUACUAAAGGUAGACUGCAAGAUUCAACUGAAAAUUAAAUACUUAUUUGCAAAAUCUAUAGAAGUGAAACCAGUACAUACCUACUUUUUUUUUUUUUUUUUUUUUCCUAAAGGGAGACACUGCAUUGGCUUUUAUAAACCUAUAUGCAAUAAUUUGCUCCCCAAAAUCCAAUGAAAUCAUAAAUGCCAAUUUAUUAUUCCUUGUUAUAGUGAUGAUGUGAUUUUCAUAAACAUUGGGAGAAUCACUGCUCACUGUGAGGGAUUUUUCCUCUUUUGUGCCAGUUUCUCUAUUUGCUCUUAAAAGUACAUUUUCUUACAUAGUUGUAAUGGCAAAGAUCAGCUGACCAUCAGAAUUUGAUUGGAUAAAAGAAAAGGUUCCUCUAAAAAUCAUUUCAGUUUUUGGGGGGAAUCCUUACGACACAGAGGCCAUAGAAAAGUCUUAUGAUUCAGGAGGUUUGUAGAUAGCUGAUCAGUGACACAUUAGCCCUUCUGGUACAUACCUUCACUGUAUUUUGAGGACAGCUGUCUUAGGUGACACUUUAUAACUGAGUGGAACAAAGGGGAGGGAAUCAAGAGAAUCUGCACUGAAAUUCAAACAGGCUUCCUACCAUUCUACCUUUGUAGAUUGCAGGAAUGGUUUGGGGAUCACUGCACAGUUACAUGUACAGGCACGGCUUCAUUUUUACACACCUCUCCCUCACCCUUUCUGGUUUCCCUGAAUGCUUUAACCUAAGACCUGACCACCUGCCUUCUUAGUGGUGAAACUUUGGGUAGAACUCCACGUCUCUCCCCUGCUUACCCUGGGCUGUGGACCACAGUAUCCUACAUACUAUCAGUGCCUGCCAAAAACAAGCAAAAAACAGAACAAACCAAAAAAAAAAAAAAAGCAUUGACCGGGUUCAGAUCUUGUAGGCCAGCUGUAUGCAUAUGUAUAUAGCAAUCAGAUGUAUGUAUUUAAGCCCAAGUAUCAUGAGAACAGGUAUUUGGGAAGAUUAGAUUGUAUUCCAUUCUACCUCUAAACUACAGGGAUGUAAGGAGCUAUUUUGCAUGAAGCUCUACUAACAGUGGAUCAGUGUAUCUAAUUUUAUGGUAUGCUCCAGAGAGACCCAGAAUUGAAGGAAAGAUCUUGUGUGUCUGUUUUCAUUUCCAGGCUGUUUGUUCUAUAGGCAUUAUCUCUAAAAGUCUGCAGGAGUUUGUGCAGAGAUGACAAUUUUGAAUCGCACUUUUCACUUGUUUGCCUUAAAAGCCUACUUCAUUCUGGAUGUGUUUGCUUUGACGCUGUUCAUAUGUUAUUACAAAGCAGCUUGACGCCCCUCAGCUCUGUGCAGUGCUUUUGUCACAUAAUCCCUUCCUAGUCAAAGCACUGAAAUGAACCAAAUGUUAUUUAUGACAAAUGCUUUUGACAAAAUACAGUUGUCUUCUUAGCAGCUCUUAGUGUUAUGUUUCCUUAAGUAUUAGGCCAGAUAAAAAACAUAACUUCAUUUGGGUUACUUUCUGCUCCAGAAAGGAUCUGUCCUCCAUCAAUGUACACUAUUUUUCUUCUGAUACCACUUAGUGCACCUUGUGUAAAAAAGGUGCAAGUUACACAAGCUAGCUUGUCUAAUCUGUGUUAGGUGCAGCCCUGUGCUGUAAGGUUUACGUGAUCGUGCUGAAUAUAGCAGAACCAAAAGACAGUUGCAUUGUGGAAAUGGGAUGUCUCACAGAGCUCUAUCUAUCCUGUAACAUCUCCUGCUUGGGAGCAGUUUGCUUCUCCUCAUCAGAUGGUCAAACUGCACUCCUGGAAUUGGGGCAACUCUACUUUAGGGUGCUGCAAUUCAGGUAGCUCUUACCUGGGUAUAUGGAAUGCUAUUUUUAACCUUCACUCCACUAUAUAGUUGAGCAGCAUCAUGAAGUUGGAUUGUAGGGAGUAAUUUGAUAAAGAUUAUAUUCAUGAAUCAGUGAACUCGGUGGAAAUACGCACUGAGGUGAGAGCCAACUGUGAUCCAAAAGUCUUCUGGGUGCAGUAACCAUGCCUGAUGUGUUGGAGCCAAUAAACUGCUGUCUGCCUUCUUUUUAUCUAUCUGAAGCACACAGCUGUCAUUUGUGUGUUGCAUAAAUUAGUAACAUCAAUGAUUUUUUAUCUUUUCAAGAUGAUGAAAAAUAACAAUUGAGAUUUUGUUCCAGGUUUUUAACAUACCGUGAGUAUGUAGUUGAAAAGUAUUUUGUGAAGCUGGAUGUCAUACUUUGGCCAAACUUUUGGUCAACUAUCUGUUCAAGGUGAAUUUCAAACUGGCCUUAUAGGCAUCACUUACGUAAAUCGAGCAUUUACACCUCCGUGAAUGAUGUAGCUCAAAGUCUAAGGUAAUUUUAAGACGUGGUAUGGGAUUUCGAUGGCAUACUCAAGAUGUAAAUUCUUAAGAGCAAGUAAAACAAGAGAAUUUGUAUUCUUCCAUAUUAAAAAAAUAAUAGUGAUGUAUUUUAUUUCAGCAGGUACAAAACCAAAAAAGGCAAAAAUAUCUAAGCCUAAAAGUAAUCUGGAUGUAUUGAAAAAAAUUGAGGAGUUGGAAGAGAAGGAUAAUGAAGACAAAAAAUCUGAAGAUGAG